rnacentral:rRNA from 1 species
UACAGAGGGUGCGAGCGUUAAUCGGAAUUACUGGGCGUAAAGCGUGCGUAGACGGUAGCGUAAGUCAGAUGUGAAAGCCCCGGGCUCAACCUGGGAAUUGCAUUUGAGACUGCUCUGCUCGGGUGCGGAAGAGGGAAGCGGAGUUUCCGGUGUAGCGGUGAAAUGCGUAGAUAUCGGAAGGAACACCAGUGGCGAAAGCGGCUUCCUGGUCCGACACCGACGUUCAGGCACGAAAGCGUGGGGAGCAAACAGG